rnacentral:tRNA from 2 species
GGAAGAGUUCCCGAGCGGCCAAAGGGAGCAGACUGUAAAUCUGCCGUCAACGACUUCGGUGGUUCGAAUCCACCCUCUUCCACCA